AAGAAAGUCAAGAAACUACAUUGUUGUUCAUUAUUGUUAUUUGUUAUUGUUGGCACUUGAAACUUGAAAGUGGUCUCAUGGAAGAGGCUACAUUGUUUGUUGCUCAUUAUUGUUGUUUGUUAUUGUUGACACUUGAAACUUGAAAGUGGUCUCAUGGAAGAGGCUACAUUGUUUGUUGCUCAUUAUUGUUGUUUGUUAUUGUUGACACUUGAAACUUGAAGGUGGUCUCAUGGAAGAGGCUACAUUGUUUGUUGCUCAUUAUUGUUGUUUGUUAUUGUUGACACUUGAAACUUGAAGGUGGUCUCAUGGAAGAGGCUACAUUGUUUGUUGCUCAUUAUUGUUGUUUGUUAUUGUUGACACUUGAAACUUGAAGGUGGUCUCAUGGAAGAGGCUACAUUGUUUGUUGCUCA